GAAACCAUCAGUGCAUCUCUCCGAGUUCUCGAAGACGAGCAUUAAGCAGGACCGAAACAAACGUCCCUCGCAUACCAAGGAGCUGAUUCAGUGAUGGAGGGAUUUGUGGAGCAGAGCAGAGCUCAAUUAGCUAAUUUCAAGAUAUGCAUACUGGAGAAAAACCAUACUACUGUGAUGACUGUGGAAAAAGCUUCACUCACUCAAGUCAUUUGAAGAUAAACCAGUGCAUCCCACGCAGGAGAGAAAUGUUAGAUCUGCCACAGAGCUGAUUCACUGAUGGAGGGAUUUGUGGAGCAGAGUAACACCAGCAGCCAAAUGCUGACAGUGGCAGAGGUAAGUCACUUUAACCUGACACAUUAGAUAAGAAGACAUGGCAUUCCAAGAAAGCUGAAUAGAAACCUAUAGGAGAAUCCUGUAAAGAUGCCCUAACCCCAAAAAGCCAAUCAAAAGGCCAAAACAUAUAUAAGUCAAAGCCCUACUUCUGUCAUGAAUGUGGAAAGAGCUCGCUCAGUCAAUUCAUUUGAAGAUACAUCAGUGUACCCACACUGGAGAAAAAGCCCCAUUACUGUCAUGAGUUCAACAAGAGUUUCAGUCACUCAUCAGCGUUGAAGCAUCAUCAGCGUAUCCGCUCAGGAGAGAAACGUUAGAUCUGUCACAAGUAUAGGAUGUGUUUCAGCGACCUGCAACAUCCCAAAAAGACCUCAG